rnacentral:rRNA from 1 species
UACGUAGGGUGCAAGCGUUAAUCGGAAUUAUUGGGCGUAAAGCGUGCGCAGGCGGUUUUAUAAGACAGAUGUGAAAUCCCCGGGCUUAACCUGGGAACUGCGUUUGUGACUGUAAGACUGGAGUGUGGCAGAGGGGGGUGGAAUUCCACGUGUAGCAGUGAAAUGCGUAGAUAUGUGGAGGAACAUCGAUGGCGAAGGCAGCCCCCUGGGUUAACACUGACGCUCAUGCACGAAAGCGUGGGGAGCAAACAGG